UGAAUUUUUAUUAGCUUAAUAAUUUUUAGUGGAUUCCUCAGUAUUUUCAACGUACGAGAUCGAGUUAACUGAGAAUGGGACCAUUACAUUCCCUUCCCAAUUGGGUUGGCUUUUCUUGUUAUUUUCUUGCCUAGUUGCCCUGGCCAGACUCUAGUACUAUGCUGACUCGUUGUGGUAGGAACAGAUGUCCUUGUCUUGUUUCUGAACUUCGGAAAAAAAGCAUUUAGUGUUUCACUCUUCAGUGAAAUCCUGUUAGCUGUGGACUCUUCCCAGGUGCCGUUUAUCUGGAUGAGGAAAUGGAGGUCUUCAUUGGAAGGGUUCCGGCAGCUUGGUGAGCACGAAGGAGGCAACAUCCCGAAGGAAGUGGACAUGCUGGCGGAGGCUCUGGAGACUUAACGGGAAGCCUCACUACAGAUCGGGGUGUAAGAAUAAGAAAAGGCCUUAUCAGGGGAUUAUUUGCUUGGGUGAUAAGGAUGACCCUUCAUUUCUGCAAGAAGGAGUGACUCCAAUAAAAAAGAACAAGGCUGUGGUGACCUUCAUAAUCUCAGAACCAUUAUUGAAACCUCCUGUCCUCCUGAAGAGUGAGCGUCCUUUCUAUUGGGGGAAAGCUGAGCCCACGUACAGGACAGGAAGUGAAUGGGGUCAGGAGAAAGGAGAGGAAAAGAAGGACAGGACUGGCUGUCCGUGCAGAGGUCUGGGGAAAAUUCUGGAGACAGUCUGCUUUAGGCCGAGAUAGAAGUGUUCAAGACACCAGUAACGGUGACUCCAAAUGUCUUGGGAUAAAAACAUAGAUCAUGAAGAACAAAUACAUAAACAAUGGCUAUGGUGAGCGUACGUCCAAAGGCAAAAUCAGGGCCUUUUGGUUGGCUUGCUGGCUCCUGUUCCAGAUGAGCAACACCAAGUUAAUGUGCUUGGACCCAAAAAGCAGUAUUUGUCUGGAAGCAAGGGGCCGGGCCAGUUGGUUUCUCCAUUCCUCUCCUAUCAUGAGAUGAACAGUGGCCACCGUGGCAGAGCUGGGAAGUUUAGCAAGGGGACAAAGACCUUGAACCUUUUGACCAAUCCUUAGCUGGCCCCUGGGAUCGCAGCACUCAUGAUGUUCUUGAAGAGAUGAUAAGUAUGCAGACAAAAGCCACAGGCACAAGACAGAGAGGAAAAGGCCACUGAUAAAACAUUCCACUUGACUGAGUCCAAGACUCUUGCUUUAGGUUAGAACCUAGUUUCACGUGUGUGUGCGUGCACGUGACAUGCUCCCUGUUGCCUAUGUCCCUGCCACCACAUGAGAAUACAGCAAAAAGACAGCCAUGGAGUGGGUCCUUACCAGACACCCAGUCUGCCAGUCCUUGAUCUUGAACUUCUCAGUCUCCAGAAGAGGGAGAAAUAAAUUUCUGUUGUUUAUAAGCCA